GUAAAUUGAAAUAUUCUAAGAAUAAGAAAAACUUCUCAUUCUUCUCUCCUAAAAUCUAGGAUUUGGUUUUUCAAUUUCUUCUUGCAUACCUAGAUUUCUCAACCCUAACAUGGUAUCAUAGCCAUGGAAUCGAUGAAUCUCGAUCUGUUCUUUCGAUCGAUGGUACCCUCAUCGAGUUUCAUGGAGAAUUUCACUUCGUCGAUCUUCGUCUGUUUCUGCACAUAAACCGUCGAGUUUUGGGAUUGUGGAGAGUCUUCAAUGGUGUUUAUCUUCAAUUGAGAGAUGUACAGUUUUUCUCCUGGUAUUUAUACUGUUAUCGACAAUAUUUACUCAGUCCUGCUCCUUUUGGUCGCUACUUCUUUUGUUUCCAAGGCCUUACCUUCUUUAGAAUGCAAAGAGGGACGGUAAUCUUCUUUUCACCACUUCUCCGUGUUAUUAGUGUUGUUUGAUUAUAUCAGUAUCUGUAUUUUGGAAUUUUACGUACCUAAGGUUACUCAUGGGUAGUCCAGAAUUUAGUUAUUCUCCUGUGAUAAGUGAUUUUGAUGAUUUCACUAUUGCUCCAUAUCAUCUGUUCUAUGUUCAUCCAACGGAUAGUCCUGGUACACAUUUGGUUUCUCCCCCUUUCGAUGGAAGUGGUUUUGUGAAUUCGCUUAAAAAUAUGCUCACUGCCCUUUCUGCUAAGAAUAAAUUAGGGUUUAUAACUGCUAUAGGUCCUAAUCUUGAGCUUAAUUCACCCUAUUAUUCAUUAUGGGAAAGAUGUAACGGCAUGGUUAUUGCUUGGAUAACAAAUUCCCUAUCCAAAAACAUUGCAAAUAGUGUAAUGUAUUUUGACACUGCCAAGGAUAUUUGGGUUGAUAUAAAUGAAAGGAUUGGUACAUCAAAUGGUUCAAAGUAUAUUCCGUGACAAAUAGAAAUCAAUGAUGCUUCCCAAAAGUCUUUAAACAUUGCCACCUAUUUUAGAAAACUCGGGGGACCCAGGGAUGAACUUGACAGUGCUUAUGUAGGACCAGUGUGUACAUGUUGGGCUUUACCAAAAUUUAUAGAACAACAGAAAAUAUACUAAUUCCUUAGUGGCUUAAAUGAGUCAUAUUCUACCAGUAAGAGUAACAUUACCAUGAUGCCAACACUUCUAUCAUUGAGCAAAGCGUAUUUUGUGCUCCAACAUGAUGAAAAGCAGAGGGAAUCUUCAGCUCUUAUUCCCAGUUUUUCAAAUAAGUCUGCCUCUUUUAAUGCUUAUGGUAAUAUUGUUCAAAACAAUCAUGUGCAACCCCCUGCUUGGUACUUUACUCAAAGAUUUCAGUUUGAACAAAAGAGAAGAUCUGGUUCCUCCUAUCAAUUGUCCUACAAAUAGUGCAAAAGGACUGGCCACACAAUUGAGAAAUGCUAUAAGCUCUAUGGGUUUCAUCCUGAUUUCAAGUUUACCAAAUCUAAAAGGUCUGCUGCUUGUGUUCAGUCUUAAGGUCCCUUCCAACACACAUCUUAUCCCAAUGGUCAUAGCAAUGGGCAGUCUUCUGAGAACAAUGGUCAUGGGCUCAGCAAAGAACAAUAUGAGCAUCUCAUGACUCUUUUCCAAUAGUUACAUCCACAUGUUAUGCACCCUGAAUCAACAAAUCCAGAGAACAUUGGUUUCAUCAUUUUAUAGGUGGGUUUAACCACCCUUGAGUCUCUGCUACAUUUCAUGCAUGUGUAGUGUCACAUCUAGGUUAAAUCCCUUGGAUUCUAGAUUCCAAUUAGCCACAUGACACCAUACAAACAACAACUACAACUUAACACCACUCACCAUACCUUUUCUAAUAACUAUACCUAAUGGACACAAAGUAAAAGUCAUAUCUACUAGUUCUCUACAAUUUAGGACAUAUAUGAUUUUAUAUAAUUUUCUAUUAGUUCCUUUAUUUCAUUUUAAUCUAAUAUAUAUUCAUUAACUUCUUGCUCAAUUCAGAUGCAUUGCAACUCUUAACAUUUCUGCCUGCAUUUUACAAGGCCCAUCUCUAAGGAGGCCACUGGAAAUUGGUAAAGCUGCAAAUGGAUUAUAUUUCUUGAAUCCAACUAUGACUUCUUCUACUUUGUUUGUUGCUUCAAUUCCUAGUUCCAUUUCUAGUUAUGUCCAAUGUACUGAUUCUCGUUCAUCUUUUAGUGUUCUACCUUAUUCUACU
rnacentral:lncRNA from 1 species